GAUGAACGCUAGCGGCGUGCCUAAUGCAUGCAAGUCGAACGGGAACCUUGGAUUCGUCUGAGGUGAGAGUGGCGAACGGGUGAGUAACACGUUGGUGACCUACCUUAGAGAGGGGGAUAACUAUUGGAAACGAUAGCUAAUACCCCGGAUGUCAAGGGGAUUAGAAGACCUUGACUAAAGCUUCGGUGCUCUAAGAGGGGCCUGCGGCCCAUCAGCUAGUUGGUAGGGUAAUGGCCUACCAAGGCAAAGACGGGUAGGGGGCGUGAGAGCGUGACCCCCCACACUGGUACUGAGACACGGACCAGAUACCUGCGGGUAGCAGCAGCAAGGAAUAUUGCCCAAUGGACGGAAGUCUGAGGCAGCAACGCCGCGUGGAGGAUGAAGGCCUUCGGGUUGUAAACUUCUUUUCUGGGGGAUGAGGAAGGACGGUACCCCAGGAAUAAGUCUCGGCUAACUACGUG
rnacentral:rRNA from 1 species